rnacentral:rRNA from 1 species
CGAACGGGUGAGUAACGCGUGAGGAACCUGCCUCGAAGAGGGGGACAACAGUUGGAAACGACUGCUAAUACCGCAUAAGCCCACGGGUCGGCAUCGACCUGAGGGAAAAGGAGCAAUCCGCUUUGAGAUGGCCUCGCGUCCGAUUAGCUAGUUGGUGAGGUAAUGGCCCACCAAGGCGACGAUCGGUAGCCGGACUGAGAGGUUGAACGGCCACAUUGGGACUGAGACACGGCCCAG